ACUGUCAAUAACUGUCAUGUAUUUAGCCAUUCUAACCUCAAAACAAUAAUUCACUAUCAUUAUAACUAACUCCCCAUAGUGAUUAUUUGUUUAGAUAAUUCAAGAAAUUAAUUACAAAAAAAUGUGGUUAUAUUCAAGACGACGUUUCUAAAAAAAUAAAAAUUAACAUCAAGAAUAUGCUUUACAAGAUGAUUAGCUGGCGUACUAAGAUAUACAAAAGCAAAAUUAUUUACAUGAGACGUAGCAAUGAGGUGCUAUAGAGUGGCACCAACCUCGAUGGUAAUAAUCGAUUUAGUGAUAGACGUGUCGGUGAUGGUGGACAUUGUAUGAUACACUGCAGCAGUUUCGAUGCAGAUGAAACUUGAUCUUCUGGACUAUCUAUUUCUUCGUUAUAGAUAAGACGCAUUAAUUCCAAUCUUUGACUUCAGGAUGAACGAACGGAUUUAAAAAAAUAAAAAUUAUAAAGAAAACUAGGAGUUACGCCAACCAACUUAUUCUAUGGUAACUAUUUGCCCCCAUUAUUAUCAACGCCCAAGAACCACAAGAGAAACUCCAACUAGAUAGCAGCCAAAGACGGUUAAACAUUGUUUCCAUGCAGUAAUCACUGUCAAAUGAAAAGCCCCAGGAAUUGACAAUAUUUGAAACUUCUGGUAGAAGAACACAAGAAGUUAGCAAAACAAUUUACACAACUCAGAAGAUAUUCCAACGUUUCUAGCACUGGGAUUUAGUCAUAUGCUCCCAAAGAGUAUCGGGAGUGAUGACCCCUACCCAGUCACACUACCAUUUAUCACAAUUCCACCGGCAGAGGAGUAAUUCCUAUAACAGUGCCAAACCCAAUGAAUCCUCAACAUAAAAAAUUUCCUCAGCAUAUCAAAAAAAAGCCCAAGGAACCUCUCUCUUUUUGUUUUUGUAUCACUAACAGAGCUUAUAGGCAAGUUAAAGAAAAUAACAUCUUAGCAGAGGAUCGGAAAGGUUGCAGAUCACCCAACAAGCUCAAAAGUGGGGUACAAGAAAGCGUUUGUUUUUUAAAUUGUAUUUUUUUAUUGCAUUAUGCCUUGAAUGUUCAAUUUCGAAAUUAGGAUUUCUAAUAACCUCACAUUUUACGAUUUCUCAUAACCUAACCUCAAAUUUUACUUGAGUAUUUACAAUUUGAAUAAACCACACUUUAAAAUAUAAUAUUUCAGUAAAAACCCUUAGGUUUACCUUCGUAAUAUCAGCAAAUAGCAAGAGUAACUAAAUAAGAAGUGAAAAUGUUAUAAAUUAAGCGAUUACCUUCGUGUACUUCUAUUCCUUCUUGUUUCAAAAGCUCCCGGAGUUUCUGUAUUUCUUCUUUGAGUUCUCUAAUAAGUUUAGCGUUGGCAUCUUCAUUGACAAUAGCCUUACAUACGAUCUGUUUGGCUCUAUCGGCAUAUCUGUAAAUUAUUUUGGAAAGAAUAUUGAAUAUUAAAUAGCACAGCAAAAAAAUAAUAAAAAACGGAUGACAGAAUGGCACAAGCUGUCCCGAGACGGUAUGGAUGGAGUAGGAGACGACGAAAUUUAUUAAACAUUAACCCUAAGAUGAGUAUCAGAAUGAUACUGAUAAAUUGAGCAUUCUCAAACACAAGUUCUUGACAGAAGCUAUGAGACUAGUGUGCUUGAAGUUGAUGCCACGAGUAUCGUUAGAUAAGCACAAGACCAACCGAUCUGUCAGGAACUUCUUGGUCUAACCAGACUUUUUUUUAUUCCCGAGAAUAAAAUCGAUGCUCGAGGAGAAGUAGCACGGCUCAGUUGAGGUGACAUGGGAACUGAGCAGCAAGUAUGUACUCAUCUAACCAAACAUUGCGCAAAGAUCUUGGGAUAAAAUUUAUGAGAGAUGUGAUUAAAAUCCUGAGUACAAAACAGGAUAGAAAAUCACCCAAAUGUUCUAUUACAACCACUACUUGAACCAAACAUCACUUGAAGACUUCAAAAGAGGUGGCCAGCUGACUUAAUGAAAAAAAUCAACUCAAAACAAGUGGAAGUUGUGUGAAUCCAUCAAUUUAUGCAAUCUUAUCACCCCUACAAAUGGUAGUAUAUAAAUUAAGGCUCUUCUGGUAACCAUUUUGAACUAAUUUGAUUAUUUUACAAUUUAAUGCUCUUCUGAUAACCAUUUUGGGUUAAUUUCAUUACUUUAUGAACUAAAGCUUUUCUGUUAAUCUUUUUGGACUAAUUUCAUUAUUUUAUAAAUGAAGGCUCUUCUGAUAAACUUUUUGAACUAAUUACAUUACUUCAUUUAAUUAAUUAGGCUUUUUUGUUAAUAUUUUGAACUAUUUUCAUUACUUUAUAAAUCAAGGCUUUUCUGAUAACCUUUUUUAACUAUUUACAUUACUCUAUGAACUAAGGCUCUUCUGCUAAUUUUUGUGGACUAAUUUCAUUUCUUUAUACAAUAAAUACACUCUAAAAAUUGUAAA